rnacentral:rRNA from 1 species
CGUUCCCGGGCCUCGUACACACCGCCCGUCAAGUCACGAAAGUUGGUAACACCCGAAGCCGGUGGCCUAACCCCUUGUGGGAGGGAGCUGUCGAAGGUGGGACUGGCGAUUGGGACU